UAUAAAGCAUUACCUGACAUACACGAACUCCAAAACAAUUGAGAACAUAGGUGGUUAUCAUCUUUGGGAAUCAAAAUGGAGAAGUUUAAUGGAAAAUGGGAAUUGGUACCAGAAUUGUAUGAGAAUAUGGACGCAUUUUCAGAGAAAAUGGGGGUGCCACAGGAACAAAAGGAAAUGAUAAAUAAUCUUGUAAUGAUUACAACAUUGAAGUUGGAGGGAAGUAAACUACAUCUUGACUUAGAAUACAAAGUCCAACCUAUAAAAUAAGAACUCUGAUUCACAGAAGGAGAACCAUUGGAAUAUAAAGGAUUCGAUGGUUCAGGGAUGACGAUAUCGAGCAAGGAUGAUGUCUCCAUGACCUACAAGAUGAAGAGAGUAUAGACGGGACCUCUUCGGGUGUAAAAUGCAACCAUUGUAUAAUCCCCGUUUUACCACACAGUGGCUGCCCACGCCUCAAACUGACUGAAACUACAGCAGACCAGGGCCCCGUCCCACAAAGCGAUCUUAUUGUCAUUAAUCACGUUUAAGUGCGGAAGCUACGACCGUACGAGCGCAGUGACCGCCUUGUUUACAAGGCCGUGGAGUUGUUAUACAGUCAUGGGACAAAAGUAUUCGUCAGUUGGCAAAAUUAUCAUAGACUUGCAUGU